AGCGAACGCUGGCGGCAGGCUUAACACAUGCAAGUCGAGCGGGCACUUCGGUGUCAGCGGCAGACGGGUGAGUAACACGUGGGAACGUACCCUUCGGUUCGGAAUAACGCUGGGAAACUAGCGCUAAUACCGGAUACGCCCUUUUGGGGAAAGGUUUACUGCCGAAGGGUCGGCCCGCGUCUGAUUAGCUAGUUGCUGGGGUAAUGGCCUACCAAGGCGACGAUCAGUAGCUGGUCUGAGAGGAUGAUCAGCCACACUGGGACUGAGACACGGCCCAGACUCCUACGGGAGGCAGCAGUGGGGAAUAUUGGACAAUGGGCGCAAGCCUGAUCCAGCCAUGCCGCGUGAGUGAUGAAGGCCUUAGGGUUGUAAAGCUCUUUUGUCCGGGACGAUAAUGACGGUACCGGAAGAAUAAGCCCCGGCUAACUUCGUG
rnacentral:rRNA from 1 species